rnacentral:lncRNA from 1 species
GUCCUGUUUUGCUUUGCUGGCUGUCUCCCCCGUUUAGACUGUGAGCCAUCAAUGGGCAGGGAGGGUCUCUCUCUGUGGCCGAAAUGUCCAUUCCAAGCGCUUAGUCCAGUGCUCUGCACAUAGGAAGCGCUCAACAGAUACGACUGAAUGAAUGAAUGAAUGAAUGAAUGAAUGAAUGAAUGAAUGAAUGAAUGACUGACUGACUGACUGAAUAGGCCAGGCUGCUCGAGCGCAGCCGAAUGGACGAGCUCGGCCGCUCGAUUGCUUCGGCCUGGGCGCUCCCGCCCCGCCCCGCCCCGCCCCUCGCGCUGCCCGAGUCCGGCCCGAGUGCGGCCCGAGCCCGCCCGAGUCCGCGAGCUGAACCUCGGAGCCCAAUCGGCGAGCUCCUCCCCUCGCCGGCCGUUCGGCCCCUCGGCCCUUCGGCUCUUCGGGCGUUCGGCCGCGGCCCCGCCCUCCUCGCUCCCCCGGCUCCCCCGCCCCCCGGAGCUUCAAAAUGGCCGCGGGUGGAGCUGAGCAGGUCGGCGUGGGACCAAGAUGAGCGAUGGGCAGAAGAUCUCAGCCUCCAUCAACGGGUUGCGGCUGCCGGGCUCGGCGGAGGGCGGGGCGGGCCGGCCGGUCCGGGCCGUGAGCCUCCGGCCCCCCCCCCGCCCGGCUCGGCCCCCGCUGCGCCGACUCGGCCAUCCCGACCCUGGAGAUCGGCGACCCCGAGGCCGUCCAGUGCGGCGCGCCGGGCGUCCGGCCGAAGCCCCGCGAGCCCCCGGCCCGGCCGGCCCCCCGCCCGGCGUCGCCGCCCUCCCCGCCGUCGUCCUCGUCCUCCUCGGCGUCGUCGGCGUCCUCGGCGGAGCGGGAUGGGUCCGCCGGCCCCCGGUCCGCCUUCCCCGGCGGCGGGCCGGCCCCCGGCCGCGGCGACGGGCCCGCGGCGGGCGACGGGGCCGGCCCGGGCCCCGAGGACGGGGCCGACUUCACGGCCACCAGCGGCUCCAGCGCCAUCGUCACCCUGGGCGGCGACGAGGCCCCCUUCUCCGACGUGACGCUCAGCUCGGCCAAGGACGGCGGCCGCCCGGCCCGGCCCCCGCCCCCGCCCGGCCCCGCCGGCCCCGAACCCGCCGGGACCGCGGGCUCGGCCGCGGCGGGCAACUUCUUCACCAGGUAAGGCCGGCCGGGCGUUUUCCCCCGGGGCUGCUCGCCGG